rnacentral:rRNA from 1 species
CUACGGGUGGCACCAGUGGGGAAUAUUGCACAAUGGAGGAAACUCUGAUGCAGCAACGCCGCGUGGAGGAUGACACUUUUCGGAGCGUAAACUCCUUUUAUAUAGGAAGAAGAUGACGGUACUAUAUGAAUAAGCGCCGGCUAACUCCGUGCCAGCAGCCGCGGUAAUACGGAGGGCGCAAGCGUUACUCGGAAUCACUGGGCGGAAAGAGCGUGUAGGCGGAUUAAAAAGUCAGAAGUGAAAUCCUAUAGCUUAACUAUAGAACUGCUUCUGAAACUCUUAAUCUAGAAUAUGGGAGAGGUAGAUGGAAUUUCUGGUGUAGGGGUAAAAUCCGUAGAGAUCAGAAGGAAUACCGAUUGCGAAGGCGAUCUACUAGAACAUUAUUGACGCUGAGACGCGAAAGCGUGGGGAGCAAACAGGAUUAGAUACCCGCGUAGUC